ensembl:lncRNA
UCUUCAUCCACAUUAUAACAGGGGGUGUAAAGACAUAACACCCUCUGUGUUCUGUUAGACAGGUAACUCUUCAUCCACAUUAUAACAGGGGGUGUAAAGCCAUAACACACAUAUGUUUUUGUCGCGGUUUUCCUCCUCUUCAUCUGAAGAGGAGAGGCGAGAAGGAUCGGAGGACCAAUAUGCGGCGUGGUAAGUCUCCAUGGUUCUUUUAAUAAGAAAUACUCAACAUGAACACAACUGAUACAAAAACAAUAAACGUGAAAACUGUGAAAACCCGAAACAGUCCCGUGUGACACACACACUGACACAGGAAACAAUCACCCACAAAACACUCAACGAAUAUGGCUGCCCAAAUAUGGCUCCCAAUCAGAGACAACGAUAAACACCUGCCUCUGAUUGAGAACCACUCUAGGCAACCAUAGACUUACCUAGAAUACUAUACUAAACACAACCCCAUCAAUCUACAAAACCCCUAGACAAGACAAAUACAUAAUUUACCCACGUCACCCCCUGGCCUAAUCAACAUCAUAAAGAGAACACAGAAUACUAAGGCGGUUUUUCCAGCAGCAGACUAAGAUCGAUAAUGUCAAAAGCCGCACUGAAGUCUAACAAAACAACCACAAUCCUUUUUCCUUAUAAAUGUCUCUCAGCCAAUCAGCAGCCGUUUAGUGCUGAAAGUCUGUUGUCAAUUGGUUUACUGUGAAAUAGCAUUGUAUCUGGUCAAACACUGUUUGUUCGCAUAAGUUUACUAGGGGUUGGUAACAGGCUGAUUGGUCGGCUAUUUGAGCCACUAACUGGGGCUUUACUAUUCUUGGAUAGCGGAAUGACUAGCUUCCCUCCAGGCCUGAGGGCACACUUUCUAGUAGGGUUAGAUUGAAGAUGUGGCAAAUAGGGGUGGUAAUAUCAUCCGCUAUUAUCCUCAGUAAUUUUCAAUCUCUGUUAAAUUGGUUGUUGAUCAUUUUUAGACAAUCAUUUUUCAGGUCUUGCCAUAGAUUUUCAAAUAGAUUUCAGUCAAAACUGCAACUCCUCCAAUCAGGAACAUUCAAUGUCGUCUUGGAAAGCAACUCCUCCAAUCAGGAACAUUCAAUGUCGUCUUGGAAAGCAA